rnacentral:rRNA from 1 species
CGGGACGGGUGAGUAACGCGUGGGUAACCUGCCUUGUACUGGGGGACAACAGUUGGAAACGACUGCUAAUACCGCAUAAGCGCACAGCUUCGCAUGAAGCAGUGUGAAAAACUCCGGUGGUACAAGAUGGACCCGCGUCUGAUUAGCUGGUUGGUGAGGUAACGGCCCACCAAGGCGACGAUCAGUAGCCGGCCUGAGAGGGUGAACGGCCACAUUGGGACUGAGACACGGCCCAG